rnacentral:rRNA from 1 species
UACGUAGGGUGCAAGCGUUGUCCGGAAUUAUUGGGCGUAAAGAGCUCGUAGGCGGUCUGUCGCGUCGGCUGUGAAAACCCGAGGCUCAACCUCGGGCCUGCAGUCGAUACGGGCAAACUAGAGUACUGCAGGGGAGACUGGAAUUCCUGGUGUAGCGGUGAAAUGCGCAGAUAUCGGGAGGAACACCGGUGGCGAAGGCGGUUCUCUGGGCCUUACCUGACGCUGAGGAGCGAAAGCGUGGGGGAGCGAACAGG